UACGUAGGGGGCGAGCGUUGUCCGGAAUCAUUGGGCGUAAAGAGCUCGUAGGCGGCUUGGUAAGUCGGUCGUGAAAGCCCGAGGCUCAACUUCGGGACUGCGGUCGAUACUGCUAUAGCUAGAGUUUGGUAGAGGAGAACGGAAUUCCCGGUGUAGCGGUGGAAUGCGCAGAUAUCGGGAGGAACACCUGUAGCGAAGGCGGUUCUCUGGGCCAAUACUGACGCUGAGGAGCGAAAGCGUGGGGAGCAAACAGG
rnacentral:rRNA from 1 species